rnacentral:tRNA from 1 species
GGGGUUGUAGUUAAUUAUAACAUUUAAUUUGCAAUUAAAAAGUACUUGAUAAGUCUGCCUCA